ACACCAUGAUGGGGACAUCUCUUGAGUAACUAUUUGAAUCUUUCUCAUACAUCAUACAUGCUUUCAUCUUCAAGUUGAUGGAAGGAUGUGAUUUCAUUUAUCAACUU
rfam:Citrus clementina cultivar Clemenules unplaced genomic scaffold scaffold_9, whole genome shotgun sequence.